rnacentral:rRNA from 1 species
GGCGUAAAGCGCAUGCAGGUGGUCGAGCAAGGUCGCGGUGAAAGCCCGGGGCUCAACCCCGGGUCGGCCGUGGCAACUACUUGGCUUGAGCACUGUAGAGGGGGGUAGAAUUUC